GACGAACGCUGGCGGCGUGCCUAAUACAUGCAAGUCGAGCGCAGAAAGGAGGUACUUGUUCCUACGAGGUUAGCAGCGAACGGGUGAGUAACACGUGGGGAAUCUGCCUUUGAGAGGGGGAUAACUUCGGGAAACGAAUGCUAAUACCGCAUAAAAACUUUAAACACAAGGUUUAAUAUUGAAAGAUGGAUUUGCUUUAACCUAUAAAUGGCUCCGGGUGUCAUUAGCAAUUUGGUAAGUAAAGGGCUACCCAAGGCAACAGAGAUUGCCAACCCUGAGGGGGGGAUCGCCCACACGGGACCUGAGCCACGCUCCAGCCUCCUACGGGGGGAGCCAGUGGGGAAUUUUCCCCAAUGGGCGAAGGCCUGACGGAGCAACGCCGGGUGGGGGAGGAAGUUUUUCGGAUCUAAAAACUCUUUUGUUAGGGAAAAAGAUAGGUGUAAUUGACUAUGCACGUCUUGACGGUACCUACUCAGAAAGCCACGGCUAACUACGUG
rnacentral:rRNA from 1 species